GUGAAGAAGGCUUUGGUGUAUUUAACACAAUACGUUGAAAUGAAGCAAAGCUUAUUUAUUGAUAUCUCCGAUAAGUUACGAAUAUGUACAUAUACAUGAGUCAAAAUAAACAAACAAGAUGGAGCCUUCACAAAGGUUGCUUAGGAGAAGUCUCAGCAGUCGGUAGAGCCCCAGAAAGAGAAGGCACCGGAGGGGGAUCAUUCGGAGCCUCAGUACUGGACAGAACCCUAGAAGGAGGAGGCAUCAGAGGUUGAUCAUUUGGAGCUUCAUUACGCGGUACAGCCCCAG
rnacentral:lncRNA from 1 species